GACGAACCGUGCGAACGUUGUUCGGAAUCACUGGGCUUAAAGGGCGCGUAGGCGGGCCGGACGGUCCGCGGUGAAAUCCCCCCGCUCAACGGGGGAACGGCCGCGGAUACCGCCGGCCUCGAGGGGGGUAGGGGCGAGCGGAACGCUGGGUGGAGCGGUGAAAUGCGUUGAUAUCCAGCGGAACUCCGGUGGCGAAGGCGGCUCGCUGGACCCCCGCUGACGCUGAGGCGCGAAAGCCAGGGGAGCGAACGGG
rnacentral:rRNA from 1 species